rnacentral:lncRNA from 1 species
AAAAAAAAAAACUCUAAAAACCUAAAAACAAUUAGCACCAAAAACAAUUAGAUCUGUCGUUCUCAAAAUCAGGAGACCCCCAAAAGAUAGAUCCGCCGUUUUCCUUCUGAUUUGGACUAACAAAAGAACCUCCCCUAAGACUCUCCUUCUUCUUGAACAAAAUGAAUAACGCCGAAGUCUAAAAGAUCAGCAGCUGGACAUAACCCCCUAGAUCUAAGGAAGGAGCAAAAAACCUUCAGCACGCCCUAAGCAACCAAUAGCCAUCUCUCUUCAUUUUCCUCUCUGAACCGCACAGACAGAGAAAUGCAAGCCACAUCUUUGAAACGGAAAAUAUGAAUCGUUUUUAGGUUGAGAGAACAGUUGAGGUUCUAUUUUCCGACGAGGUUCGUUGAGGUUUCCGAUGAGGAGGACUCCGCCCAUUCUAACUCAUUUCUGGCUUUUAUUUGAUAGUUUGAACUAUUUUCUUGCUUUCAAUAGGUAAGCUCUUUUCCUCCUGUAUUUUCCAGUUUAUCUCUACAUCUUUUUGUUGAAUAGCAUUUGACAUGGGUGUAUGGAAUUUUGUUGUAUUUCACCUUCUGCAUAUUUGGUUUUCUUUCUCUUUGUGUGGCAAUCUUUGUCAUUCUAUGUAUUUAAUUAAUGUGGACUAUAAGAUUUAGUUCGCAAGAUGGCAGAAAGAUCUGGAUAUCUGCCCUUAUGAAUAUCGAUAUAAGAGGUGCAUUUACUCAGUUGCUUUAUCUCACAAUAUUAUCCUCCAAUUGAC